rnacentral:rRNA from 1 species
GGUAGCCGGCCUGAGAGGGCGACCGGCCACACUGGGACUGAGACACGGCCCAGACUCCUACGGGAGGCAGCAGUGGGGAAUAUUGCACAAUGGGCGCAAGCCUGAUGCAGCGACGCCGCGUGAGGGAUGACGGCCUUCGGGUUGUAAACCUCUUUCAGCAGGGACGAAGCGCAAGUGACGGUACCUGCAGAAGAAGCACCGGCCAACUACGUGCCAGCAGCCGCGGUAAUACGUAGGGUGCGAGCGUUGUCCGGAAUUACUGGGCGUAAAGAGCUCGUAGGCGGUUUGUCGCGUCGUCUGUGAAAUCCCGCAGCUCAACUGCGGGCUUGCAGGCGAUACGGGCAGACUCGAGUACUGCAGGGGAGACUGGAAUUCCUGGUGUAGCGGUGAAAUGCGCACAUAUCAGGAGGAACACCGGUGGCAAACGCGGUUCUCUGGGCAGUAGCUGACGCUGACACACCGAAAGCGUGGUUAGCGAACAGGAUUAGAUACCGUGGUAGUGCACGCCAUAAACGGGGGGCGCUGGGUGUGUUUUUCCUUCCACGACAUCGUGUCCC